rnacentral:snRNA from 1 species
GUUGCUUUUUGGCCUUUUGGCUAAGAUCAAGGGUCAUAUCUGUUCUUAUCAGUUUAACAUUAGCUAUUAUUAUAUCUAUGGGCUUAGAAAUCUGGGGCCACUGAGUUCCAUCCCUGGUACCCCCAAAAAAAGA